rnacentral:rRNA from 1 species
UGCAGAGGCGAACGAGGAGAACUGAAACAUCUAAGUAUCCUCAGGAAAAGAAAUCAACCGAGAUUCCGGCAGUAGCGGCGAGCGAACCCGGAAGAGCCUAACAGCUGAUAGUUUGAAGCGUAGUCGAACGGAAUGGAAAGUCCGGCCAUAGCGGGUGAUAGCCCCGUAGGCGAAACGCUUUGGAUGGUACUAAGGCAGUGAGAAGUAGAGCGGGACACGUGGAAUCCUGUUCGAAGACGGGGGGACCAUCCUCCAAGGCUAAAUACUCGUGAUCGACCGAUAGUGAACCAGUACCGUGAGGGAAAGGCGAAAAGAACCCCGGGAGGGGAGUGAAAUAGAACCUGAAACCGCAUGCAUACAAACAGUAGGAGCUUCGUAAGGAGUGACUGCGUACCUUUUGCAUAAUGGGUCAGCGACUUACAUUCUGUGGCGAGCUUAACCGACUAGGGGAGGCGCAGCGAAAGCGAGUUCGAAUAGAGCGAAGAGUCGCAGGGUGUAGACCCGAAACCAGAUGAGCUAUCCAUGGCCAGGUUGAAGGUGUGGUAACACACACUGGAGGACCGAACCGACUAGUGUUGCAAAAUUAGCGGAUGAGCUGUGGAUAGGGGUGAAAGGCCAAACAAAUCUGGAGAUAGCUGGUUCUCCCCGAAAACUAUUGAGGUAGUGCCUCGUGUAUCGCUCCAGGGGGUAGAGCACUGUUUUGGCUAGGGGGACAUGGAGUCUUACCAAACCAAGGCAAACUCCGAAUACCUGGAAGCGUGAGCACGGGAGACAGAGCACCGGGUGCUAACGUCCGGACUCAAAAGGGAAACAACCCAGACCGCCGGCUAAGGUCCCCAAUAAUGGCUAAGUGGAAAACGAAGUGGAAAGGCCGUGACAACCAGGAAGUUGGCUUAGAAGCAGCCAUCCUUCAAAGAAAGCGUAAUAGCUCACUGGUCGAGUCUUUCUGCGCGGAAGAUGUAACGGGGCUAAGCCAUUAACCGAAGCCGCGGAUGC